CUGUACACGUCCAAAAAGAAAAGAAGAAAGAAACAAAAAGAAAAAAAAGA
rnacentral:ribozyme from 13 species